rnacentral:rRNA from 1 species
UGCACGAAGGUGUGGGUAUCAAACAGGAUUAGAUACCCUGGUAGUCCACACAGUAAACUAUGAAUACUCGCUGUUUGCGAUACACAGUAAGCGGCUAAGCGAAAGCAUUAAGUAUUCCACCUGGGGAGUACGUCGGCAACGAUGAAACUCAAAGGAAUUGACGGGGGCCCGCACAAGCGGAGGAACAUGUGGUUUAAUUCGAUGAUACGCGAGGAACCUUACCUGGGCUUGAAUUGCAACUGACAGCUUUUGAAAGAGAGUUUUUCUUCGGAACAGUUGUGAAGGUGCUGCAUGGUUGUCGUCAGCUCGUGCCGUGAGGUGUCGGCUUAAGUGCCAUAACGAGCGCAACCCUUAUUGCUAGUUGCUAACAGAUUAUGCUGAGGACUCUAGUGAGACUGCCGUCGUAAGAUGUGAGGAAGGAGGGGAUGACGUCAAAUCAGCACGGCCCUUAUGUCCAGGGCGACACACGUGUUACAAUGGGAGGAUCAACGGGCAGCUACCUAGCGAUAGGAUGCUAAUCUCUAAACCCUCUCUCAGUUCGGAUUGAAGUCUGCAAUUCGACUUCAUGAAGCUGGAUUCGCUAGUAAUCGCGCAUCAGCCACGGCGCGGUGAAUACGUUCCCGGGCCUUGUACACACCGCCCGUCAAGCCAUGGAAGCCGAGGGUACCUGAAGUAUGUAACCGCAAGGAGCGUUCUAGGGUAAGAUCGGUGACUGGGGCUAAGUCGUAACAAGGUAGCCGUAAAGGG